rnacentral:lncRNA from 1 species
UCUCUUUACCCGAGUGUCCAGAACAUAUGGUCGCAGGUCUGGUGAUACGAUUACAAAAUCGAUCAUCGACCUGCGGCCUAGAGCGUCCUGGUGCCACGUGCAAUUAUGGACACUCUUAUGUUCGAACAAGGUGUUCGUUAUGGCCAAACUGUGACUUGCACAGAAGUCCAAUAACAAAACAUCACUCGGAUUCAGAUCAGGGAGGCCGUUCCUCCCAAUCACGCCCCUCCAGGUCUCGCUGUUGUUACCCACAUGAGCAUUGAAGUCUCCCAGCAGGACAACAGAGUCUCCAGGUGGGGCACCUUCCAGCACCCCCCCCAGGGACUCUAAGAAGGCUGGGUACUCUGAACUGCCACUCGGCGCAUAAGCGCAGAUGACAGUCAGGACCUGUUCCCCGACCCUAAGGCGCAGGGAACAAACCCUCUCAUCCACCGGGAAAAACCCCAACGUACCGGCAGCAAGCCGAGGGGAUAUUAGAAUACCCACCCCAGCCCGCCGCCUCUCACCAGGGGCAACUCUAGACUGAGACAGAGUCCAGCCCCUCUUCAGAGGAGACUGGUUCCAGAGCCCAAGUCAUGCGUAGAGGUGAGCCCGACUAUAUCGAAAGGAGCCAGUUGAGGUGGUUCGGGCAUCUGACAAGGAUGCCUCCUGGGUGAGGUGUUCCGGGCAUGUCCCACCGGGAGGAGGCCCCGGGGCAGACCCAGGACACGCUGGAGAGUUAUAUCUCUCGGCUGGCCUGGGAACGCCUUGGUGUUCCCCCGGAAAAGCUGGAGGAGGUGGCUGGGGAGAGGGAGGUCUGGGCUUCUCUGCUUAGGCUGCUGCCCCCGCGACCCGGCCUCGGAUAAAGCGGAUGAAGAUGGAUGGAUGGAUGGAUGUUUCAGUGUGUCAGUAGAAGGUGUCCAGGUGUCUCUCUGUUAUUGGUGGAUCCAGUGGACGGACCAUACGGAUUGGCUAACGACCUGGAGACCACUUAUAUGAUGACACCGCCAUGGACGGCCAGUCAUUCAUCCUCGGCCCAUCCCAGCUGGCAGACUUUAUGUUCCCUGUGUAGUACUGUUUGUUUGACACAGGAGCAUGUAGGGGUGGACUACCCUUUUGUUUGAUUACAGUUUUCUCAUGUUUUUGUUAGUUAGAGAGGUAAGUUGCUGUUUUUCUUUUGAGUAGGUAAGUUUGAUUUAUCCUUGAGAUAGGCUCCUUUUGUUUAUUAUUUUGGCAUUAGGUCCACCCCGAAGUUAUAAUCCACUCUGUAAAUAAAUCACCAUCAAACUGUA